GACGAACGCUGGCGGCGUGCUUAACACAUGCAAGUCGAACGGAAAGGCCUGCUUUCCCUUGUGGAUUGCGGGUACUCGAGUGGCGAACGGGUGAGUAACACGCGAGUGAUCUGCCCCCAACUUGGGUAUAAGCCUGGGAAACUGGGUCUAAUUCCCGAUAGGACUGCAGGGUGGUGCCUGUGGUGGAAAACGAUUUUCUAGUGGUUGGGGAUGAGCUCGCGGCCUAUCAGAUUGGUGGUGGGGUAAUGGCCUACCAAGGCGGCGACGGGGAGCCGGCCCGAGAGGGUGGACGGCCACAUUGAGACUGAGAUACGGCCCAGACUCGUACGGGAGGCAGCAGUGGGGGAUAUUGCGCAAUGGGCGGGAGCCUGAUGCAGCGACGCCGCGUGGGGGAUGACGGCCUUCGGGUUGUAAACUCCUUUCGACCGCGAGGAAGCCACCUGGUUGGAAGGGUGGUGACGGUAGUGGUAGAAGAAGCACCGGCUAACUACGUG
rnacentral:rRNA from 1 species